rnacentral:ribozyme from 1 species
UUUUUUUUUUUUUUUUUUUUUUUUUUUUUUUUUUUUCCCUUUAUUUAAUUAAUUAAUAAUCAAGUAGGGGCUGGAAUGGUCCACUUGUCAGGGAUAGGUCCAUGAUCUUGAAU